CUAAAACAUGUUAAAUACAUACAAAAUAGAAAAUGAGAUAAUAUAUGCAUACAUUUCAUAAAAAUACUCUGAUUCUUCAGGUAUUUUCAUUUCAUUUUAAAAGAUUUUUUUAAAAUAUGCUACUAAUGGUAGUGGAGCAAAGAUCCAGCCCCUUUCCACAGUUUACAGGAACCAUUGCAAACCAGCUCCUACCUACCACACUAUAAGGCACAUUGUACAAUUGCUACUCUCCUCUCAUAGGUGUUGCCUCCACAGACUGUCAUUUCUGCUUGUUCCUCCUUUUCUUAUGCUAUGCUGUAUAUGCCCAGGAUCUCUCUUUUCUUUCUCUUCUUUAUGUAAACUUCCCUCUAACCACUAUCAGCAGUCAACAAAUUUUGGGUUUUCUUCCAAAUGGUAGCUCCUUUAAAUUCACCAGUUCCCUCUUCUACCUAAGUUGAGUUAUAUUUGUUUUACGUGUGUGUGUAUACAUAAAAUAUAUGUGUGUGUGUAUGUAUAUAAUCUCUUAUUUAUAUUUUUGUAUUCUCCUGUGUUUCUGUGUUUGUUUCCUGAUUGACACAUUACUAUAAACUUAACUAGUUAAUGGUACUUCAGAGGUCUACUCAAUAGGAGAGUUUUAAGAUUUCAGUAGGCAGAAAUCAAGGUGUUAGCUGGGCUAGACCCUUAUCUGGACAUUCUGGAGAAGAUCUGCCUCUCCUAGCUUAUUCAGAUUGUUUGCAGAAUUCAGUUCCUCGUGGCCCCUUCAAUCUCCAAAGAAAACCACAAUUCCUCUCGUCUUCUUGCAUGUCAAAUCUCUGAUUUUUCUGCUACCAGUGAAAGAAAGUGCUUUGCUUUUAAAGGACCCGUUAAAUGAGGGAUGCUCAUCAGGACGAUCUCCCUUUUGAUUAACUCAAGGUCCAUUGCUUAGUAACAUUAGUUACAUCUGGAAAGUUUUUUUGUGCGUGAUACAAUCCCAUAUGUGAUACCAUACCAUAUUUGAAGUGCCUUUUUGAAUUCUGCCCACCAUACCCUGUUAGGCAAGGAGCUUGUUUAUUGAACGUUGAACCCUAUCAUAGUGUAUUAUAAUGACAGUAUGGAUUGCUGAAUAUUUAUUAUGUGUAUAUAUUUAAGAUACUAUGCCAAAU
ensembl:lncRNA